rnacentral:rRNA from 1 species
GUCUGGUGGCGAGUGGCGAACGGGUGAGUAAUGUAUCGGAACGUGCCCAGUAGCGGGGGAUAACUACGCGAAAGCGUAGCUAAUACCGCAUACGCCCUACGGGGGAAAGCAGGGGAUCGCAAGACCUUGCACUAUUGGAGCGGCCGAUAUCGGAUUAGCUAGUUGGUGGGGUAACGGCUCACCAAGGCGACGAUCCGUAGCUGGUUUGAGAGGACGACCAGCCACACUGGGACUGAGACACGGCCCAGACUCCUACGGGAGGCAGCAGUGGGGAAUUUUGGACAAUGGGGGAAACCCUGAUCCAGCCAUCCCGCGUGUGCGAUGAAGGCCUUCGGGUUGUAAAGCACUUUUGGCAGGAAAGAAACGUCAUGGGUUAAUACCCCGUGAAACUGACGGUACCUGCAGAAUAAGCACCGGCUAACUACGUGCCAGCAGCCGCGGUAAUACGUAGGGUGCAAGCGUUAAUCGGAAUUACUGGGCGUAAAGCGUGCGCAGGCGGUUCGGAAAGAAAGAUGUGAAAUCCCAGAGCUUAACUUUGGAA